CAUGAUCAAACAUGGACCAAAAGCGUAGAUCCACUUACUUUUCCCCCACGGAAUUGGAAAUUCCAAUGAACGUGUAUGCCGAGCAGUUACCCAUUUUAACAAAAAAAAAGCAAUACCGCCGCGGCAGCGAGAGCGCGAGAGAGAGCUUGGCAGGAAAUAGCUGAACAAGUCAAUGCCAAAUCGAAAAAAAUGCAGAGACCCGGCAGACUGGAGGGGGUCCACCACCUGCAGCCCUCACAGAGGCUGAGGAGAUGGCCCUCAGCCAACAGAGUAUGCGUCCUGUGGCUGAGGGCAUCCCUGGGGGGAGCUCCUCUGAUCCCCCCCACCCCCCAGGAUAAAAGUGCCUUUACAGUAUAAGGGUUACUGAUAGCGCCCUACUUUAAGCAGAUGCCCUCACCAACCUCCAUGCAAUUGUAAAAAUUCAAAAGAUGCAAAAGGAUGCUUUGGAGAUCCAAAUUUUG
ensembl:lncRNA